rnacentral:lncRNA from 1 species
AGACAUCUGGCCAUUGGUACUCAUUUCUGUUCUGGGUCGAAGGGACCUCACCUUCUUUUCCACCAGCCAUGAGACAGGAAGGCCUCAACUGGUAUCCCUGAAAGGGGGAGAGUUGGACUCUUGCCACAAGUCAGGUGAAGGCAUUCUCAUCUCCUCAGAGGCUUCAGAGCUUCUCCAUUUCAUAGACAACCAGGGCCCAGUGCACGUGAUCCAGAAAUAUCUUGAGCACCCUCUGCUGCUUGAGCCAGGUCAUCGCAAGUUUGACAUUCGAUAAAGAAAUGGGGGCUCAGAGCAGUCAAGAACAUGCCCCAAGUUAUUCGUCAGUGAGGCAGAAAUUGUGGUGUCCUUGUGUAAGUUCACAGUUUAUACUUUACCAUUAUACUGUGCUCCAAAUUAUCUGAUAUUUACUUUCAAAGCAUGUGUAGGAAGUUUACUAUGAUGAUGCAGAGACAUUGUACAGAAUCCAGUCCCUUGACUCUCAGGUCCCCAGAACACUCACUUCACGAUUUUGUUGACCUCUUAUGUCAACUUAAACCUGGCACUCUCUUGGCUUUCUCUGCUCUUUCUGGGCACUCCAAAGCUUCUGUACUUACAUGCUACAACUCCAGUCACAGGAAGAUGCUGAGUUCUUUAGUCCCAGAUCCAUAUUCCUGAGAAAACCUAAUUGCCUAGGCUCAGGUCAUAACUCUGUGUCUGUUUCAGUUGAUUAUGGCUGGGCCUACUGCCCCUCUGUAUGGUGGUGGGGCAGAAGUUCCCAGAGAGAGGCAGGGGUGACAGAGACUGUUGUCUCAAAUGCUAGGCAGACAUCUGGAGUGGUAACCACUACAUCUGUUCACAGUGAGCACAUCCUUGCAGGGAAACUGGGUUAAUCAUCUCUAUUAUUGAAACUCAGAGGUAUAGUGUUUCUUCAUAGGAAUUUUCUUUCCUUAUUUGAGAUGGGGGUCUCACUUUGUUGCCCAGGCUGGAGUGCAGUGGUGUGUGAU